AGGUCCCUCUAAGAGGAGGAGUUGCUCAUUUUAGGGUGGAGCAGGUCCUCCUGUGCCUAUGGGAGCCCAGCACUACACUGGGCCAUGGACUGCCCUUGUGAUGGUCAGGAGGUCAUUCCACUCUCAGCCAGUGCAGCAUGCAAAGCACGACAAGGUGCUUUCCCAUGACCAUUCCUGGGAAAUACACUGCAGGUUCAUCCCAUAAGCAAGAUAACCAGCCUCAGCUGGGAAUCCUUGUGGGCUCUGAAGUGUGCUGGAUGUUACAGCUGUUGUUACUGUCCCUCUCACAUGGCAGGGCAGGGAGAGGCACUUUGGGCAUCUCCUGCUCCCAGUUUUAACAUUCAGUCCUUCUGGUCGGCCAUGGAAAUGUUUGCCCUGGCUGUGAUGGAUGCAGGCUGGCUCAGGGAGACCCUUCUGGGAGGAAGAGCAAAGGGAGGCACAGGGAAGCAAGUGCCUGUUGUAGGGUCAGUAGGGCUGAGCUGGGUUCUGCUGCUCAAAACCAGUGCUCUCCUCUUUCCCACUGUGUUUAUGGUUCAUCCUUUUCAGGGUCAAGCUAUUCCAGGCAUCCCCUGGCAAUGAGCUUUGGCUUCCUCAUGGAGACUUUCCCCAGCAGUCCCAGCCUGGGGAGAGGCACCUGCCUCUGAAGGCUCUGGAGCAGCCGGCCCCGUCUGUGUCCCAGCUUGCCCAGGGGGUGCAGAGCAGUGGCUCCCCAAGAGUCAGCCUGCCUUCCUCCUUGCCUGGCAGCAGAAAUCACCCUCUGGCCUUGCCUCAGCUUUUGAUUCCCAGGCCAACUUGAAUGUAAGCACCAACCAUUGCCCAGUGGGUAUCAGCUUGGAGAAGCCUCUGGCCCAGGUUUGAAUCCAGGGAGAAAAGCAGCAUCUGCGGCGCUUAGAGGGGGACACGGUGUGGCCACGCUCAGCAUUUGCAACGUCUGCC